GUUUGAUCCUGGCCUCAUAUUGAACGCUGGCGGCAUGCCUUACACAUGCAAGUCGAACGGCAGCGCGGACUUCGGUCUGGCGGCGAGUGGCGAACGGGUGAGUAAUACAUCGGAACGUACCCUGUUGUGGGGGAUAACUAGUCGAAAGAUUAGCUAAUACCGCAUACGACCUGAGGGUGAAAGUGGGGGACCGCAAGGCCUCACGCAGCAGGAGCGGCCGAUGUCUGAUUAGCUAGUUGGUGGGGUAAAGGCCCACCAAGGCGACGAUCAGUAGCUGGUCUGAGAGGACGAUCAGCCACACUGGGACUGAGACACGGCCCAGACUCCUACGGGAGGCAGCAGUGGGGAAUUUUGGACAAUGGAGGCAACCCUGAUCCAGCAAUGCCGCGUGUGUGAAGAAGGCCUUCGGGUUGUAAAGCACUUUUGUCCGGAAAGAAAUCGCGCUGGUUAAUACCUGGCGUGGAUGACGGUACCGGAAGAAUAAGCACCGGCUAACUACGUGCCAGCAGCCGCGGUAAUACGUAGGGUGCGAGCGUUAAUCGGAAUUACUGGGCGUAAAGCGUGCGCAGGCGGUUUUGUAAGACAGGCGUGAAAUCCGCGGGCUUACCCUGGGAAUUGCGCUUGUGACUGCAAGGCUAGAGUGCGUCAGAGGGGGGUAGAAUUCCACGUGUAGCAGUGAAAUGCGUAGAGAUGUGGAGGACUACCGAUGGCGAUGCAGCCCCCUGGGACGUGACUGACGCUCAUGCACGAAAGCGUGGGGAGCAAACAGGAUUAGAUACCCUGCUAGUCCACGCGCUAAACGAUGUCAACUAGGUGCUGCGGAUUCAUUUUCUCAGUACCGCAGCUACGCGAUGAGAUGACCCCUGGGGAGUACGUCGCUAGAAUAAAACUCAAGGAAUUGACGGGGAUCCGCCCAAGCGAUGAUGAUGUGGAUAUCAUGCACGCGUAGCUUACUACUGACAUGCAUACUACCAAUAGCUACGUCGAAGAUGAACGGCUCUUGCUGCGUACCCUGCCUGACGUUGAUUUCUAUACGGAACUGUCCAUGGCCGGGCCCCUCAA
rnacentral:rRNA from 1 species